GGGGUAAAAUUAAUAAAAUUUAAUUUAAUAAAAUAAAUUUUAAUAAGAAUAUUUGGGGGUUAAAGUAUUUUUAUGGAAAAAAUUUAUAAAUUUAUAGUUAAUUAGUAUUGUAAAAUAAAUUUGAAAUAAUUGAAAAUAAAUUAAAGAAAAAGUAAUUUUAAUUUAAUGUAUCUUGUGUAUCAGAGUUUAUUAAAAAAAUUUUCUGGGGGGAAAAUUCUCGAAUUAAAAAGAGUUAAAUAAUUAAUAAAUUUAUUGUAGCAAAAAUAUUUUAAAUUAUUAUUUUGAAAUUAAAAGUUAUUCGUUUUUUAAGAUAUCUAGUUUUUUUAUAAAAAAAUUUAAUUUUGAAAUAAUUUAAUUAAAAAAUUAAUUAAAUAAUUUUUUUAAUAAUUAUUUUAAUAUUUUAAGGGAUAAGCUUUAAAAUAAAAUUUUAUAAUAAUAUUUUUUUUAUUUUAAAAAUUUUAUAAUUUAUAUUGUUAAUAAAAUUUAAUUUAUUAUAAAUAAUUUUAAUAAAAAAAAAAUUUAUUUUAUUAUUUAAAUUUUUAUAAAAUAAUAAUUUUUAAUAAAAUAAAAUUAGGUAUAAUGAUAAAAUUAGUAUAUUUAUAAAAUUAAAAAAAAAUUAAAAUGUUGAAAAUUAAUUUUAAAGAAUUCGGCAAAAAUUUAUAUUCGCCUGUUUAUCAAAAACAUGUCUUUUUGAGAAUAAUUUAAAGUCUAAUCUGCCCACUGAUUUUAUUAAAGGGCUGCAGUAUUUUGACUGUACAAAGGUAGCAUAAUAAAUAGUCUUUUAAAUGGAGACUAGAAUGAAUGAUUGGACGAGAUAUAAUCUGUUUCAAAAUUAUAAAUUGAAUUUAAUUUUUUUAUUAAAAAGUUAAAAUAAUUUUAAAAGACGAGAAGACCCUAUAGAGUUUUAUAUAAAUUAUAAUUUUAAUUAUUUGUAAAAAUAAAAUUGAAAUUUGUAUUUAUAUUUUAUUGGGGUGAUAGAAAAAUUAAAAUAACUUUUUUUUAUUGGGACAUAUAUAAGUGAGUUAAUUGAUCCAAAAUUUUUGAUUAAAAGAAAAAAUUACCUUAGGGAUAACAGCGUAAUUUUUUUUUUUAGUUCAAAUAAGAAAAAAAGUUUGCGACCUCGAUGUUGGAUUAAGAUAAAAUUUAAACGCAAAAGUUUAAAAUUUUGAUCUGUUCGAUCAUUAAAAUCUUACAUGAUCUGAGUUCAAACCGGUGUGAGCCAGGUUGGUUUCUAUCUUUAAAUAAAUAAAAUAUUUUAGUACGAAAGGAUUAAAUAUUUAAAAUAAUUUUAUUAUUUUGAAUAUCAUUAAAAUUUUUUUU
rnacentral:rRNA from 1 species